UACGUAGGGUGCGAGCGUUGUCCGGAAUUACUGGGCGUAAAGAGUUCGUAGGCGGCUCAUUGCGUCGCCCGUGAAAACCUGGGGCUCAACUUCAGGAUUGCGGGCGAUACGGGUGGGCUGGAGUUCGGUAGGGGAGACUGGAAUUCCUGGUGUAGCGGUGAAAUGCGCAGAUAUCAGGAGGAACACCGGUGGCGAAGGCGGGUCUCUGGGCCGAUACUGACGUGAGGAGCGAAAGCGUGGGGAGCGAACAGG
rnacentral:rRNA from 1 species